rnacentral:rRNA from 1 species
UACGGAGGGUGCAAGCGUUAAUCGGAAUUACUGGGCGUAAAGCGUGCGCAGGCGGUUUGUUAAGUCUGUUGUGAAAGCCCUGGGCUCAACCUGGGAAUUGCAGUGGAUACUGGGCGACUAGAGUGUGGUAGAGGGUAGUGGAAUUCCCGGUGUAGCAGUGAAAUGCGUAGAGAUCGGGAGGAACAUCCAUGGCGAAGGCAGCUACCUGGACCAACACUGACACUGAGGCACGAAAGCGUGGGGAGCAAACAGG